GCUGGGGUUUCUCUCACAGCAGAGAUUGAACAGGAGAAUCUGGAACCAGGAGUGAGCAGAGCUGGCCCCAGGCCUUGGUGGCUGUGUACUAGUUCUGUGACCUGCAAUCAGUCACUUAACUUCUGUGAGCUCCUCUCUUUCCGUCUGUAAAAAAGGAAUAUGUACUACCCACUUCCUGAGUAGAUGUUGAAGAUGUUGUAAAAGGUUCGAGUCAACCAAUUAAAAGCAAUAGAUCACAUGAAGAUGAGUAUAUCUUCUGUUUGUUGGGACAUAAUCCAGAGAGGAUCUUUCUCCCCAGAUAUUAUGGGAUGGCCACAUUUUACAGCUGAGAGUGGUAAGUGAUCAGGUGAAGCAGAGUAAGUACCUGUGGACAGCUCCAUUGAAGUACAUGUAGCAAAAAUAGCCAUGUGUGACUUUGUACAAAAUGUCAGGUGGUCAUUUAAGGCUUCUUGGCACUGUAUAUGAGGGAGUGUUUUAAUCUUGCUGUGUUGCAUGAAGCAUUUGGGAAUUGAGAAGCAGAGUCUUGCACUGUAUGUAUGCCGGUUCUCCCACAGAAAAGAGAGGUGGCAUCAGUACUUUCUUAUCAGCUAGGAUAAUCACACAGGGGAAGUCAAAACCUUCCAAAAGCAAGGGACAGUAGCCAAGGCUUAACUUGGUAUAACAGAGAUUAUUCUUGUAUGUGUGCAAAUGCCCAGAGUGCCAGGUGAGGGGGCCGAGGGACCUGGAGCAGGUUUGUAGGAUCACACGGAUGAUCAAGGUUAGAUCAGAG
rnacentral:lncRNA from 1 species